rnacentral:piRNA from 1 species
UUCCCGCCACCUCAGGGUCACGCCCAGU